rnacentral:rRNA from 1 species
AGCAGCCGCGGUAAUUCCAGCUCCAAUAGCGUAUAUUAAAGUUGUUGCAGUUAAAAAGCUCGUAGUUGAAUUUCGGGAUCAAUCUGUUGGUCGUGCCUUUGGUACGUACUAGCUUAUUGAUUUCUCCCUUCUGACGAACCAUGAUGUCAUUUAUUUGGUGUUGUGGGAAAUCAGGACUGUUACUUUGAAAAAAUUAGAGUGUUUAAAGCAGGCUCACGCUUGAAUACAUUAGCAUGGAAUAAUGAAAUAGGACGUUUGAUUCUAUUUUGUUGGUUUCUAGGAUCGACGUAAUGAUUAAUAGGGAUAGUUGGGGGCAUUAGUAUUCAAUUGUUAGAGGUGAAAUUCUUGGAUUUAUUGAAGACUAACUACUGCGAAAGCAUUUGCCAAGGAUGUUUUCAUUAAUCAAGAACGAAAGUUAGGGGAUCGAAGACGAUCAGAUACCGUCGUAGUCUUAACCAUAAACUAUGCCGACUAGGGAUCGGAUGAUGUUAAUUUUUAAUGA